rnacentral:rRNA from 1 species
UGCAGUCGAGCGGACAGAAGGGAGCUUGCUCCCGGAUGUUAGCGGCGGACGGGUGAGUAACACGUGGGUAACCUGCCUGUAAGACUGGGAUAACUCCGGGAAACCGGAGCUAAUACCGGAUAGUUCCUUGAACCGCAUGGUUCAAGGAUGAAAGACGGUUUCGGCUGUCACUUACAGAUGGACCCGCGGCGCAUUAGCUAGUUGGUGGGGUAAUGGCUCACCAAGGCGACGAUGCGUAGCCGACCUGAGAGGGUGAUCGGCCACACUGGGACUGAGACACGGCCCAGACUCCUACGGGAGGCAGCAGUAGGGAAUCUUCCGCAAUGGACGAAAGUCUGACGGAGCAACGCCGCGUGAGUGAUGAAGGUUUUCGGAUCGUAAAGCUCUGUUGUUAGGGAAGAACAAGUGCGAGAGUAACUGCUCGCACCUUGACGGUACCUAACCAGAAAGCCACGGCUAACUACGUGCCAGCAGCCGCGGUAAUACGUAGGUGGCAAGCGUUGUCCGGAAUUAUUGGGCGUAAAGGGCUCGCAGGCGGUUUCUUAAGUCUGAUGUGAAAGCCCCCGGCUCAACCGGGGAGGGUCAUUGGAAACUGGGAAACUUGAGUGCAGAAGAGGAGAGUGGAAUUCCACGUGUAGCGGUGAAAUGCGUAGAGAUGUGGAGGAACACCAGUGGCGAAGGCGACUCUCUGGUCUGUAACUGACGCUGAGGAGCGAAAGCGUGGGGAGCGAACAGGAUUAGAUACCCUGGUAGUCCACGCCGUAAACGAUGAGUGCUAAGUGUUAGGGGGUUUCCGCCCCUUARUGCUGCAGCUAACGCAUUAAGCACUCCGCCUGGGGGAGUACGGUCGCAAGACUGAAACUCAAARGAUUGACGGRGUGCGCCGGCARCAAAGSCGGWYUAAUUAAUAWAAUASGCUA